AAAAAACAGCUUCAGGAUUAAAACCACGGUCAAGCACUGCCUACGUGCCACGAGAGAAAAGCAACAUGGCCACCAGAUCAAGAUUGGAAAGAUUACACACAUGAAAGCAGUUAGAGUGGUUAAUCUGCUACUACACCUACAGUAACUGGGUGUAGCAGCACCCUUUUUAACAAUGUCAAGGUUGUAUUCAUUUAGCCAUCUGAGACACGUGAAAAGACAAACAGUUUCUGGCACUGUAAUCUACUUCAGUCUAUUUAGAGCACGUGGCUAUCUCAGCAAUGAUUCAGAGCAGGAGAAGGUUGAGGUCACUCCUCGGCCAGACUGUGACGACUUAGGACAAAAAUAUUUUAACUCCCUGUGGGUUGGGUUAGUUUUGUUUUCAAGCAUGCUGCUGGCAGGCAGAAAGCAGCCAUUUCUUUAGUUGCAGUAGAGAAGAAUGUGAUUUCUAACCUUAACAGACCUUCCUCUACCGCAGACAAUUACUCAGAAAUGCACAGCACAGCAGAUUCAGCUGGACCUGUAAUAGUAAUAAGGCGAUCCUCUGAAAAAAGCUCAGCUUCUGGUGGCUCAAGGUCUGACUGCCUGCAAACACACCCAGGUGAGCUUAGAGAACCAGACAGGGCUGCAAGGAAAUGACCCAGCAGGAAAGAAUCCAGGAGGCAUCCACAAGCUGACAAGCGGGCAGGCCAGCAGGGAGGAAGCUGCGUCUGAUGUUGGAUACUGAAAUGACGGCCUGAAGGAAAAAAAAACCCAGAAGCAGUCGCCGAUGGCGGCAAAGAAGAUGACCAGCUUUAGCACUUCCACUGGCUUUCUGCCAAAGGGUUCAACUUCAGUCCAACGGAGAAUAAACCCAGUGGGUGCUUCAGACCGCUCCUUGGGCUCGGUAGGACAGGCCCACUCGCACACGGGCAGGCAGGGGCUGAUCGCGCAGUGCAGGCCAACAGCAGCCAAGCUGGGAGGCAGCGGCAGCACACGGGUCAGCCGACUGGUCCCCCGGUCGCCUUUUUACACCUUUUGACGUCUUUAGCUAUGUGAUGUCUCUAGGUCAAAUGCCCCAAAGAGUGUAUUUGUUUUCUUAUUUCCACGUCACGGGCCUCGGCUCACCAUCUUUCUAACAGCGUUUUUUCCGAGCGCUCCCUGUAGCACCAAUCCCCAAACCACGGGGUCCGGAAAUUGGCGGCAUUUGGCAAACAGCACCGGGAACCACAGUUAAGAGAAAAUGCCAAAUUUGUUUCUUUUGCAUGGCUUGCAAUAAAGUCUGAGAGUUCUCGGUGCUCUUGUGGUGAAAACCACUGCUUUUGGCAUUGUUUAAUACACAUUAAUACAAUCACAGGAAGUGAUCGGUUGCCUGCACACAAACUUUGUGGUUAAUCUUUGAACAUUAGCCAUAGCGCUAUCUUAAAGCCUGUCUCACUACAAUACAGACUUCUUCCCCUUACAUGCUUUACUGCAAUUAUAUUGCCUACACUGACUAUUAACUAAAUUACUACUGGACUCACCAGUCCAGCUGGUGAAGGAUAAGUCCUCACAUGUAAGCCAAAUAUUGUCCAAUUUAUUCUUUCCCUUAAUGAGAAUUUCAAAUCCACAAGCAAGGAGUUCGAACAGCUAAAUGGAUGCUGGAAACUUGAGUAUUAGCAUCAAACAUAUCCAACUUACUACAUUGUUCUCCUAAAGCAUGUCUUGGACCAGUACUCUAAGAAAAAGGCAUUUUACAAAGCAGAAAUAGACUGAGGCUCAACAGCAGUGCAAAGAACCCAAGGCUGAAAUACGAGGGUUUUUUUUACACAUCUAAGAUCAGAUACAUAGUCAAAAUUUAAGUGGAAAAGCUGGACUUGUGAGCAUCAAAUUCACAGUACAAAAUGUUGUACUAACUGCUUGUCACUGAUACACUAUCCUUCUGUUCUUUGUUAAAUUAAUCUAAGUUAAUUUAGAAAGUACAUGAAAUAAAAGACUGGUCAAGUGGGCAUGACUUACCUCAAAAAGAUUUCUAACAAUUCAUAUGAUUAUUACAAUUAUUGCUUCUUUUACUGUAGGUCUGUUGAAAAGCCUGCUGUAAAAACUAGGUAACAAAACGCAUACAGCACUGACUGAUAAUAGAUAUUGCCCACAUCAGUUUAUUUGUAGCUUAACAUUUGGAUGAUGUGGUAAAUGCGGGGUUGGACUAAAUGAUAAAGGGCUCCCAUCUAACCUAAACAAUUCUGCGUGAAGUUUU